GUCGAGGGGCAGCACGGGAGUAGCAAUACUUGGUGGCGACCGGCGCACGGGUGAGUAACGCGUAUGCAACCUACCUAUCAGAGGGGAAUAACCCGGCGAAAGUCGGACUAAUACCGCAUAAAACAGGGGCACCGCAUGGUGAUAUUUGUUAAAGAAAUUCGCUGAUAGAUGGGCAUGCGUUCCAUUAGGUAGUUGGUGAGGUAACGGCUCACCAAGCCGACGAUGGAUAGGGGAACUGAGAGGUUGGUCCCCCACACUGGUACUGAGACACGGACCAGACUCCUACGGGAGGGCAGCAGUGAGGAAUAUUGGUCAAUGGGCGGGAGCCUGAACCAGCCAAGUCGCGUGGAAAAGGAAGAAGGAUCUAUGGUUCGUAAACUUCUUUUGCAGGGGAAUAAAGUGCAGGACGUGUCCUGUUUUGUAUGUACCCUGAGAAUAAGGAUCGGCUAACUCCGUGCCAGCAGCGGC
rnacentral:rRNA from 1 species